UUCAGAAACAAGAGUCUGUAGCUUCUGAACUUCUGAUUUUAAUGCUUUGUUUUGGUCAUUUAGAAUCUUAAAUUCUUCCAUUUUGUUUGAAAUUUCAUGUUGUAGUUGCUCUUCCAGCAAUCUUAUUUUAUCAUCUUUAACAUAAACACUUUGUUGCAUCUUCUCCAAUUCAUGUGCAGCAGCAGCCUGCUCAUUUGCCAGGGCCUGUAAUUUCUGCACUUCAGCUUUUAAUAAGAAAUUCAUAUUCUGUAUAUCCUUAAGUUCCUCUUCUUUACUUGUUAAACGAUCACGUUCACUUGCUAAAGA
rnacentral:misc_RNA from 1 species